UACGGAAGGCAGCAGUGGGGAAUAUUGCACAAUGGGCGCAAGCCUGAUGCAGCCAUGCCGCGUGUAUGAAGAAGGCCUUCGGGUUGUAAAGUACUUUCAGUCGUGAGGAAGGUGUUAAGGUUAAUAACCUUAGCAAUUGACGUUAGCGACAGAAGAAGCACCGGCUAACUCCGUGCCAGCAGCCGCGGUAAUACGGAGGGUGCGAGCGUUAAUCGGAAUUACUGGGCGUAAAGGGCACGCAGGCGGUUAAUUAAGUUGGAUGUGAAAUCCCCGGGCUUAACCUGGGAAUGGCAUUCAAGACUGGUUAGCUAGAGUCUUGUAGAGGGGGUAGAAUUCCAUGUGUAGCGGUGAAAUGCGUAGAGAUGUGGAGGAAUACCGGUGGCGAAGGCGGCCCCUGGACAAAGACUGACGCUCAUGUGCGAAAGCGUGGGGGGCAAACGAGGGAUUAGAUACC
rnacentral:rRNA from 1 species